rnacentral:lncRNA from 1 species
UGUGUGUGUGUGUGUGUGUUUGUGUGUGUGUGUGUGUGUGUGUGUGUGUGUGUGUGUGUGUGUGUGUGUGUGUGUGUGUGUGUGUGUGUGUGUGUGUGUGUGUGUGUUCACGUGCAUGCAUGCAUAUAAACUUUCUGCAUUUCUGAGCCAAUGCCAUGGAGUGCCUACGGGGAUUGGCUGUAAAACUUUGCUAUCAUUACCCAAGUAUGAGUAGAUAGGUAAAUUCUUUGGAGCUAGUAUGAUCUUCAUUUGGGAAUCCUUUUGUUGGGUCGUGGGGUUUUGUUGGUUUAGUACUGCACUCACGGGUCAUUCCUGUGGGCGGCAUAGGUUCGCCUCCAGGUCAGGGAGGUAUGUUAUAUAUAUAUAUAUAUAUAUAUAUAUAUAUAUAUAUAUAUAUAUAUAUAUAUAUAUAUAUAUAUAUAAACAAAAUGACAUACAUAUAUUAUCGAUGGCAAAAACACUCAACUGUUCUAAUACAGUGACAGAAUAUUCCACCAUGCACAGAAAAAGAUUUAUUGAAAAUCCUCCUAUAUUUCAUCUUCUGGUCAGAGGAGGAAGGGGAGGGGAAGGUAUACAAUAGGAUAAGUACAAGAAGGGCAGGUAAAGACAGGUGAGCAAAAAUGAAUGAAUGAAUACAGGUAAGGUUAUAGAGUCAGGCAGUCUUUGAGAAGGGUAGCUGGCAUAAGGCAACAAUCUGAGAAUGUGGGAAUCAAGAAAACUAUCAACAGAACACUAGUGAGGGUGAGAUGAUUGGGAUUCCACUAGUUUGCUGGCAUGGACAUUAACAUAUGGAGAGACAAUGCAAUCUGCUGACCGAUCCAUCUUGUGGCUAUUUCAAUUAUUAUUUUUAUUGUUAUUAUCAUUAUCAUUAUUGUAAUCAUCAUUAUUGUCAUCAAUAUUAUUAUUUUUUAUCAUAGUUCUUAUUUUAUCAAAUAAACUUGAAAGAUGUAGAGUGUAGAUGCAUGAAGCUGGGCCUAAAGUAAAGAGAUAAGAAGAGUGCCAGUGUGCAUCUCUAAUUUGAAAAUGGAAGUGUGGAUUUCUUGUUAUUCAUUACAGAAAUAAUCACAUAUAUAUCAGUUAGACUUUACAACACAUUGAAUAACAAUGUUAAAACACUUGGUUUUCAAAGUUAAGAUGUAGUUGAUGCAAAAAGAGUAAAUAGUACUCUAGUGCUGUUCAGAAUUAGGAGUAUAAUUUUUUUGUUAUGAGGCCACUUAAUAAAUGUAAUGCAUCCUUAA